rnacentral:tRNA from 1 species
UUUGUUGUAAUUACUUGUUUGGAUAAGGCUCAUAACCUGAAGGUCGUAGGUUCAAAUCCUACCCCCGCAACCA